rnacentral:rRNA from 1 species
UACGUAGGGGGCAAGCGUUAUCCGGAUUUACUGGGUGUAAAGGGAGCGUAGGUGGUAGUGCAAGUCAGAAGUGAAAACCCAAGGCUUAACCAUGGGAUUGCUUUUGAAACUGCAUAACUAGAGUGCUGGAGAGGUAAGUGGAAUUCCUAGUGUAGCGGUGAAAUGCGUAGAUAUUAGGAGGAACACCGGUGGCGAAGGCGGCUUACUGGACAGUAACUGACACUGAGGCUCGAAAGCGUGGGGAGCAA